rnacentral:rRNA from 1 species
AGGAUGAACGCUGGCGGCGUGCUUAACACAUGCAAGUCGAGCGGUGAGGUGAGGAGCUUGCUCCUUGCGGAUCAGUGGCGAACGGGUGAGUAACACGUGAGUAACCUGCCCUUGACUCUGGGAUAAGCACUGGAAACGGUGUCUAAUACCGGAUACGACCUCCGAAGGCAUCUUCUGGAAGUGGAAAGAAUUUCGGUCAAGGAUGGACUCGCGGCCUAUCAGCUAGUUGGUGAGGUAACGGCCCACCAAGGCGACGACGGGUAGCCGGCCUGAGAGGGUGACCGGCCACACUGGGACUGAGACACGGCCCAGACUCCUACGGGAGGCAGCAGUGGGGAAUAUUGCACAAUGGCGCAAGCCUGAUGCAGCAACGCCGCGUGAGGGACGACGGCCUUCGGGUUGUAAACCUCUUUAGUAGGGAAGAAGCGAAAGUGACGGUACCUGCAGAAAAGCACCGGCUAACUACGUGCCAGCAGCGC